rnacentral:rRNA from 1 species
GAUGAACGCUGGCGGCGUGCCUAAUACAUGCAAGUCGAGCGGUAAGGCUUUCACAGAUUAUUUAACCAGAUAAGUUCUUCGGAAAACUGUUUGCAGCGAUGAUUCCCGGCUAGGGAAUCAGAGUUGAAUAAUGCGUGAAAGUACACGAGCGGCGGACGGCUGAGUAACACGUAGGAACGUACCCCAAAGUGAGGGGAUAAAGCACCGGAAACGGUGUCUAAUACCGCAUGUGAUCUUCGGAUUAAAGCUUCGGCGCUUUGGGAACGGCCUGCGCAUGAUUAGCUUGUUGGUGAGGUAAAAGCUCACCAAAGGCGACGAUCAUUAGCUGGUCUGAGAGGAUGAUCAGCCAGACUGGGACUGAGAACGGCCCAGACUCCUACGGGAGGCAGCAGUAGGGAAUUUCCACAAUGGACGAAAGU